CUGAAAUAGUUUAUCUCAGAGUUUUCUAUGAGUAGCUGAGAUUUAACUCUGCUCUAGGUGUUGAGAGCAACAAGCUCAUAGUGCCAGUUGUCUUGUGAUUAAAUGUCAAAAGCCUCAAUUAAGGCUUAUUAUUUUCUCCUUUGUAAUAGGUCGGCUCCAAGGCUACACAAGCAGCAAGAAGAAAAGGAAAAACUCUGUUUUAUUAAAGCUCCAUUUGCCUAUCUACCUUGGUGGAGGGUCAAGAAAAGAUUUAUAACCUAUUUGCAGGUUUUUGGCUCCUGUUUGCAGCAUAGAAACCUCACAGACAAUAGGAAUUCAGACUCAAUGGUGUGGUAGAAGAUAAAAUAAUUUGGGUUAUUUCUGUGAUAACAUGAACAAUCUGGAAACUACUCCCAUUUGUGAGGGUAAAUCUCUAUUAUGAUACAUGGAAAAUAGGACAGAUGCUAAUUCAGGUAAGAAAAGGUCUUUAUACAAAUAUUUACCUUCAGACAGAAACGUUAAUGAAGAUGGAGAAGGAACAGCUACCAAGAAACUAGGGAUAGUAGGACACAAAAAACCUGGUAGUGAGUAUGAACCAGUCUGGUGCCUUGCCUCCAGAGGAGCAGCAACCUAGCAGAGCUACUGGACAACCAGCCCUGCACUUCCCUAGAGCACAGACCAGUUCACUAUGCAGCCACCAAGAGAUAAGCACCCAAGGAGAACCUACCAGCCAUGGAUCCUCAGAAAACAGACCAGCUCAAUGCCCAGCCUUCAGGGGACAAGCAGCUGAGUAGGCAUACCAGCCACACAAACUUCUGCAGCCAAGGCCACUGAGGUACUUGCAGGCACCACUGACAUUAACUAUAGCUAAAGAAGCUGCAUGGAGACUAAACUACUGCAUCCACCCAGAACAAAAACAAAUGUACCUUACCCAAUUAACAUGCUAGGACACAUCUGCAGGUGUAAGUCUUUUCCGAUGAAAGCUACUCUACAACGUUAGAAAAGGUGAUUAUUCCAUCAGAUGCACAGAUGCCAGUGCAGGGAUACAAGAAACAUAAAAAAGCAAGGAAACAUGACACCACCAAAGAAACACAAUAAUUCUCUAGUAACUGACCUCAAUAAAAAAAUAAAAAUGUUUGAAUUGCCUGAAAAGGAAUUCAAGAUAGUGAGCUUAAGGAAACUUGUGAGACAUGAAAGAACACAAACAGAUCAUUCAACAAUCCUGAAAAACAAUUCAUGAUCUGAAUGAGAAAUUCAACAAAGAGAGAGAUAUCAUAAAAAAGAACCAAACAGAAAUCUUGUGGCCAAGAAAUUCAAUGAAGGAAAUAAAAAAUGCAAUUGAGAGCUUCAACAGCAAAAUAGGUCAAACAGAAGAAUUUUUGAACUUGAAAACAGGCCUUUUGAAAUAGUCCAGUCAGAGGUAAAGAAAAAAAAAAAAAAAGGAAUGAAGAAGCCUGUGGCACUUUUGGGACACCAUAAGUGAACAAAUGUUUGCAUUUUGGCAACUUAAGAAGAAGAGAUGAAGGAAGGCAAAGAAAGCUUAUUUAAUAAAGUAAUAGUUGAAAACUUCCCAAGUCUUGGAGAGAUAUGGACAUCCAGAUCCAUGAAGUUCAAAGGAUCUCACAAAGAUUCAACCCAAAGAGGUCCUUUCUGAGGCAUAUAACCAAACUGUCAAAAGUCAAAGACAAAGAAAAAAAUACUGAAAGCAGCAUGAGAAAAGCAUCAAGACACAUAUAAGGGAAUUGCCAUUGGACUAUUAGCAGAUUUCCCAGCAGCAACCUUGCAGGCCAGGAGAGAAAGGGAUGAUAUCUGUAAAAUACUAGAAGAAAAAAAAAGCUGCUAGCCUAGAAUACUACACCCAGCAAAUCUUUGCUUCAGAAAUGAAGGAGAGAGAGUCUUUCCCAGAUCAGCAAAAGCUGAGGGAACUCAUUACCACUGGACCAGACUUACAAGAAAUGCUUAAGUAUUUCUAUUGGAAAAAAAAGUUUUCAUGAUAAUUGCUACCAGAAGAAAACAUGAAGUAUAAAUCUCACUGCUGGAGGUAAAUGCAUUAUCAAAUUCGUAAUACUUUAUUACUGCAAUGGUGAUAUGUAAUGUUUCAAAUCUCUAGUAUGAAGGUUAAAAGCCAAAACAGCUGGGUGCUGUGGCAUGUGCUUGUAGUCCCAGUUAUUUAGGAGACUGAAAUGGAAGGCUCAUUGGAACCCAGGAGUUUGAGUCCAACCUGUGCAAUGUAGUGAGACCCCAUUUAAAAAAUAAUAAUAAUUUUUAAAAAUGCAGCUCUGUGGGAUGCCAAAAAGUGAAAAUUGUAAUAAUGAUUAUAGCUAUGAUAAGUUGUUAAGGAAUAAACAAUAUAUAAAGAUGUAUAUUAAAGCAACAAAAUUAUAAAUGUAGGUGCCGAAUGAAAGUCUAGAGUAUUGGUAUGCAAUGAAAGUUAACUUGUUAUCAGCUUAAAAUAGUCUAUUAUAAGUAUGAGAGAUUUUUAAUGUAACCCCAAUACUAACCACAAAGAAAAAAUUACAACAGAUAUACAAAUGAGAAAGAGAAAGGAAUCAAAGCUUAACACAACAAAUACCCUAAUCAAGCCACAAAGAUAAACAUGAGAGAGGAGGAAAGGAACAAAGGAUAAACAAAACAACCAGAAAAUAAUGAACAAAAUGGCAGAAGUCCUUACCUAUCAAUAAUAACUUCGAAUGUAAAUGAAAUAAAUUCCCAAUUAAAAUAUACAUCAUGGCUGAAUGGAUUAAAUAAAAAAAAAACAAAAAACAAGAUUCAGCAACAUGCUGCCUACCAGAUACUCACUUCACCUAUAAGGCCACACAUAGACUGAAGUGAAAGAAUAGAAAAUGAAAUUCUAUGAAAAUGGAAACCAAAAGAAAGCAGGGGUAGUAAUACUUACAUCAGACAAAAUAGACUUUAAGUAAAAAACUGUAAAAAGAGAAAAGAAGGUUAUUAUGUAAUGAUAAAGAAAUCAGUUCAGCAAAAGGUUAGGACAGUUGUCAGUAUAUGAGCACACAACACUGGAGCACCCAAUAUAUAAAGUAAAUAUAUAAAGCAAUAUAUAAAGCAAAUAUGAGAUCUAAAGGGAAAGAAAAAUUAAAAUAAAAUAAAAAAGGACUUUAGCACCCUCUUUCAGCAAUGGAUGGAUCAUCCAGAUAGAAAAUCAACAAAGAAUUAUCAGAUUUAAAUUGCAUUCUAGACCAAAUAGCCCCAGCAGAUAUUUACAAAACAUUCCCCUCAAUAACUACAGAACGUACAUUUUGCUCAACAGCACAUGGAACUUUUUUCCAGGAUAGAACAUAUGUUAGUCCAGAAAACACAUCUCAAGCAAUUAAAAAAAUCAAAAUCUUAUCAAGUAUCUUCUCUUACCACAAUGCAAUAAAAACUAGAAAUGAAUACCAAAAGGAACUAUGGAACAUAUACAAAUAUGUGAAAACUAAAAACAAGUGUUUGCACAAUCAGGGCAUCAAUAAAGAAAUUAAAAAGAAAAUUUAAAAAUUCCUUGAGACAAAUAAAAAUGGAAACAUGACAUACCAAAACCUAUGGGACACAGCAAAAGCUAUUCUAAGAGGGAGUUUAUAGCAAUAAAUGCCUACCUCAAAAAAGUAUAAGAAUCUUAUAUAAAAACUUUAUGUGGCACCUCAAGGAAUGAGAAAAACGAGGGCCAGCUGAACCCCAAACUACUAGAAGAGGAGAUCUUUAACAGAUCAAGCAGAAAUAAGUGAAAUAGAGCCUGAAAAUAAUAUAAAAAUCAGUAGAACAAAAAGUUGGUUCUUUGAAAGAUAAACAAAUGUUUUAGCUAGACUAACAAAAAAGACUCAAAUAUAAUCAGAGCUAAAAAAGGAGAUACCAUAGAAAUACAAAGGAUCAUAAAAGACUUUUAUGAGCAAUUAUAUGCCAAUAAAUUGGAAAACCUAAAAUAAAUAAAUAAAUUCCUGGACACAUGCAACCUACCAAAAUUGAACUACUAUGAAGAAAUAAAAUACCUACACAGGCCAAUGAUGUGUAACAAGAAUGAAUCGGUAAUAAUAAGUCUCCCAUCAAAGAAAAGCCCAGGACCUGAUGACUUUACUGCUAAGUUCUACCAAACAUAUAAAUAAUAAUAUCACUUCUUUUCAAACUAUUCUAAAAAGUUGAAGAGGUGGAAAUUCUUCCCAACUCAUUCUAUGAGGCCAACAUUAUCAAAACCAGACAAGGAUAACUUGAUAAAAAGAAAACUACAGGCCAAUCUCCUUUAUCAACAUACAUGCAAAAAUCUUUAACAAAAUAUAAGUGAAACAAAUUCAACAGCAUAUUGAAAAGAUAAUUCACCACAAUCAAGUGAGAUUCAUCCCAGGGAUGCAAGGAUGGUUUAACGUAUGUAAAUCAAUAAAUGUGAUACAUCACAUUAGCAGAAUGAAUGACAAAAACGACAUAAUCAUUUCAACAAAGAAAAAAACAUUUGAUAAAAUUUAACAUCCCUUCAUGAUAAAAAUUCUCAGCAAAUGAGAUAUAGAAGUAAUAUACCUCAACACCAUAAAGGCCAUAAAUGACAAGCUCAUAGAUAACAUCAUACUGAAAAAGUUGAAAGCUAUUCCUCUAUGAUCUGCAACAAGACAAGGAUGCCACAUUUAUCACUUUUGUUGAAUAUACUACUGGAAGUCCUAGCCAGAGCAAUUAGGCAAGAGAAAUGAAAGGCAUCCAAAUAGGAAAGGGGGAAGUCAAAUUGUCCUUGUUUGCAGAUGACAUGAUCUUAUAUGUAGAAAAUCCUAAAGAUUCCACAAAAAAUUGUUAGAAUAAAUAAGUUCAAUAAAGUUGCAGGAUACAAACUCAACAUGCAAAAAUCAGUAGUGUUUCUAUAUGCCAAUAGCAAGCUACCUAAGAAAAGAUAUCAAGAAAGCAAUCCAUUGACAAUAGCUAUACAAUAAAUACCCAGGAAUAUAGUUAACCAAGGAGGUGAAAGAUCUCUAGUGGAAACUAUGAAAUACGGAUAAAAGAAAUUGAAGAGGACAUAAAUAAAUAGAAAGAUAAUAAUUAAUUGCAAAAAUUAAUAUUGUCAAAAUGUCCAUAUUAUUCAAAGCAAUUUACUAAUUCAAUGCAAUCCCUAUUCUAAACAGAAAUAGAAAAAAAAUCCUAAAACUUCUAUGGAACCACAAAAGACCCCAAAUAGCCAAAGUAAUCCUUAGCAAAAAUAAAGCUCGAUGCAUCACACUACCUGACCUUAAAAUAUACUACAAAGCUAUAGUAACUAAAUCAACAUGGUACUGGUAUAAAAAUAGACACAUAGAUAACUGAAAUAGAAUACAGAACAGAAAUAAAUCCAUGCACUUACAGCCAACUGAUUUUCAACAAAAGUGUCAUCAACAUGCAUUAGGAAAGGAGAGGCUUUUCAAUAGAUGGCACUGGGAGAACUGAAUAUCCACAUGUAGAAGAAUAAAAUUAGACCCCUAUCUCUUACCAUAUGUAAAAAUCAGCUUAAAAUUGUUUAAAAACUUUAAUGUAAGACCUGAAACUGUAAGCAUACUAGAAGAAAACAUGGGAGAAACAAUUCAUGACAUUGGUCUUGGCAAGAAUUUUUUGAAUAAGACCUCAAAAGCAUACAACAAAAGCAAAUAUAGAGAAAUGGUACUAUAUUAAACUAAAAUGCUUCUGUACAGCAAAGGAAACAGAUUGAAGUUAACUUAAGGAAUGGGAGAAAACAUGCAAACUAUGCAUCUGACAAGGGCUUAAUGCCUAGAAUAUACAGAAAACUCAAAUAACUCAAUAGCAGAAAAAUAAAUAAUUCCAUUUAAAAAUGGGCAAAAUGCCUAAAUAGACAUUUCUCUAAAGAAGACAUACUAACACUUAGCAUCACUAAUCAGGGAAAUGCAAAUUAAAACCAUAAUGACAUAUCACCUCAGUCCAGUUAGAAUGGCUAUUAUCAAAAAGACAAAAAAUAACAAAUGUUGGGGUAGAUGUGAAGAAAGAGGAAGUCUUAUAUGCUGUUGUGAAUUAGUCCAGCAAUGAUGGAAAACAGAAUGAAGGUUCCUAAAAAAGUUAAAAAAUAGAAGUACCAUAUGAUCCAGAAUCCCACUAUUGAGUAUAUAUCCAAAGGAAAUAAAAUCAGUUAUGUGGAAGAGA